UUCCUUCUUACAUAACAAACUAGAAAGGACGUGAUUUCGGAAAACGAAAAAUGGAGCCACCAAAUUUAUUCGAACGAGAACCUAUAUUCUGGUUUCUUGAUGAUCAAGCAAAUAAAUUGUCUAUCAAUUUGACCCAGUCGUCUCAAACACAUUAAAAAGUAACAUAAUCCAUUUGUAAGGAAUUAUACUCAAUCGCCAUUUAAGUGAAAUGCAUAAUGUCCACAAAGAAACCGUUUCAUCCUAAACGGAUCCUCUAUAAAAACGUCUGGUUUAUCAAUGUAUUGAUUGAUUUGAUUGGAAGUCAACCUUAAUGCUUAACUUAAAGAAGAGACAUAAAUAUUACAGCAACUUACUGACAUAAGAUAGAUUUCAUUACACAAAUACGAAAUAUGGUCAACCAUUAAUCUAAAACAUUACACCAAAAAUUACUAAAUACAACAACAUAUGUGUCAAAAAAAACCCCACGUUAACAGACAAGAAAAAAUGAGUCAAAACAAAAAAUAGUUACAUGGAAAUCAAGGUCUGCGAACAUACUAAACUAACAAAAUAACUACGGCGUAAAAUACAUUCACAUGAGUUCGCCCUAUCACUCCUUCAUCAGUCACCCCAAAUCGCCUAUAAUCUAAGCUCCAAAAUCCACAUGCAAUUCGCUCCUACAUUAAGGAAAAUUAUAAUAAUUACCACUAACCAUUAAUACAACAGCCAUAACUGAAGCAAAACAAAAGAAAAUGUAUAAGAUAUAAAUGCUUACUCUUCUUCGCCACAUGCUAUUUGUCUUUUUUACUACACACUCAAAGAGCGAGAACCUAUCAUUUUCUCCUCGGCAUAUCUAACCAUGACAACCAUACGACUAUAAAACUAUGGAAGUACACAUCUAUUGACUUAAAAUAAACCUAUAAUUAGCCCAUUAUAGUAAAAUUACAAUUCAAAAUCAGCAACAAAACAAUAUGAAGACCAACGUUGAAAAUUUAGAAACAAAAACCUCCCUUUUCUACUAAGAUACUUUUGAAGAUAUUGUUCAUUAAUUGCAUAAUGCAAUCUCUCCUAAACAAAUUACUAAUUUACUAUUUAGUAGAAACAACUAUAUAUCCUAAUGAACAAUGGAAAGAAAGAAUCCCUAAUAACUACAAAACACAAUAACAUAAUCUACGUUUGCUAGAAACCGUAUUGAUCAUCAAAUGUAACAUCUUCCAACAACAUCAUAUGAAGCAGCUAAAAGAACAUACACACACGAUGUAAGAGCUUAUCCAGAGAUACUGGUUAUUCCAUGAUUAAAAACAUUUUGGACUCAUUAGAGAAUAAAAUAUAUGAACCCGGCGCGUAGCGCCGGAAUACCACUAAUAUAUAUAUAUAUAAAGUAGAGUUGUGCUCUGCAUACAGCCCUCCACCUCAUCAUCCUUUUUGUGACACAUGUCCACUCUCAUUUACGUUGUUUGCUUCAUUGAUUUAACAGAUCUCAGUUUGUAGGGUCUAAGUAAAACAACCCUUUUAUAGUCUUCGUUUGUUUCUCUUCAAAUAAAGCCCAUCAAAUGAUACCCUUUCUUCUCUCUAAUCGACAUUAUUAUCUAACCUGCAACCUAACGAUCCCAUUCCACUUCCCCCGAUGAAAUAACCUCCAUAGUUAUGGCAUUCAAUCAACAAAACCCGUUAAUCCCACUAUCAUCUCUUCAUUGUACCUUUAAUCCAUUGUUCUUAAACUUUUUCCAGUGUAUACAAAGCUACAACAAUGGUGAAUUCUUCACCCUGCUUUGCAAUCUGAACUGUUCCAAAGAGGAACAAAGGAAGCAGGAAGGUUCGAGAACACAAGUAAAUGACUAGAUCCAUCGCACCCUCCCACUACUAACACUGUUUAUAAUUGUAAAACAUAAUUUGAUAUUUAUGAUGUUGGUGCAGUAGCAGAAACAAAUGAGGAGAAGCAGACAACAACUCUAAUAUAUCCUGGAGUAGGAUUUUAUCUUCUAGGCCAACACUCCGCUGAGAGGAAUCAAGAAGCUAGUGUUUACGUUGGGAAUCUCGGCCCCCAGGUUCUUUUCCUUUCUUUCUCUCUCGCACGAACCUUAAAUUUCAGAUUGGUUCGGGAGAUUUUCUAUGUGUUUCUCAGUUUCUCUUAUCUGUGAAUCGUAGCUAUCUGAAGAAUUUCUUUGGGAAUUGUUAGUACAAGCAUGCCAUGUUGGUAAGUUGAACGCUUUGAUUCAUAUGAACAAUCUUCGCUAAGUUUCUUCUUCUGUAUCUUAUGGUUUUUGGUUAUACUUAGUAGAACUGGUCUUUCUCUGACAUUAUGCUCCUUUUUUUGUUUUUAGAUUUUAUCAAUUAAUGUCUAUGUUCCCAAAGAUAGGAUGACAAAUCUUCAUCAAGGUUAUGGAUUCAUUGAGUUCCUUAGUGAGGAAGAUGCUUGCUAUGUAAGUCUUUCUCUUUUCCAAGAGUUUUAACUUCUUCCUAUACACAAUAGUAAACUUUUCUUUCCAUGUGCAGACAAUUAAGCUAGAGCUUGAAGCUUUGAUAUAUAUAUUAGGAUUAAGAGUGAUACAGAGGAGGCUAAGAAUGAUCUGCGAUGACCUUUCAUUCAGAUAGGGAGUUGGUACCGGAUGGGUUCAAGACAGUCGAGUAUGAUGGGUUCGUCUCAAGUUAUCAGAGACAGCUCUAUCCAUGUUCUUCCAUGUGUUCUAAUCAUUGCUCUUGGUCAUAUUCCAUUCAGUUUCACUGUAAGAAGAAAACUCCCAACCUUUUCAACUUUUUUCUUUUCCAUUUGUAGAAAGUUGUGACUGAUUUGUAUCUUUUGGGUCCAAUGUGGUUAUUCUUCUUCAACAUUAGUUGCAAUCCUAUGGAUCUCGGUUCAAAUGUAUCUGAGGUACUUAACCAAUCCAUUGUUCUUAAACCUUUUUUUCCAGUGUUUAACCAUAUAUAUAUACUUUUUCAGUGGCCUCUCCAAUUCCCGUAGAAUUAUUUAGAUAUUCUGUGAUUUGUUGUUUGAAAUUAAGUUCAAUGUUUAAACUUGUGUGCAUCUUUAGGGAUCGUAUUUAGGAAUGUGAUUAGCCAGUUGUAGCAGCAAUGAUACAUCAUCUGCCCUUGGAGAUCCAGAGAAGAAGAAGCUUUACGAAGCGAAAUUGUGGGUGAAGCCAUGGUUGAACUUCAAGGAGCUGCAGAAUUCAAGCUUGAUGGUGAUGAUACCCCUACCAGUACUCCCUUUGAUUUUGGAUGCAAAAGGUAUGAAUACAGAAUACAGAAGUUACAUAUAUGUAUGCAACAGAAAGAUAAAUCUUAAGUUUCAGGAUGGAGGAAAUUUUCAGGAGAUGGUUUAGAAGACACCUCUCAGUUCAAGGCAAUAUAUUUUGGCUUCUCAGAUUACAAUGACCAUCUACCAUCAACUCUCCAAUUAUAGCCAGAAAUUAAUAUGAAUGUUCUGUAUGCAACGUUGAUCAGAGGGUUCCAUCAAUGUGAAAAGUCUGAACACUUUUUGAGACCUGUUUAAGGAAGGUUCUAUUUACUCAAUAAGUGGAUUUGACGUAGCACGGAGCACCACCACCUUGAUAAAUACUUGAGAAGAUGUUGCGGUAUUCAUUGACUCAACUCAUCCGGAUAUUACAAUACUUGAGAAGAUGUUUAUAUUCUGCAACCACGAAAACUACUUCCGUUGGCAAAUAUCAACACCCACCUACCCGGUUAGUCUCACAUCCUCUGUAUGUUAACCUCUGCUUUCAAGCAUAUCAAUAUUGAUGACUAUGUUUUUCUUGCCAAGACAUUACUGGUGAGUUGUGCGUCAUCAGGAAUUCAGGAUCACAUUGAACGAAGAAACACGUACGACACAACAUACAAUGCAACCAUUCGCCUUGACAGGUGCUUUUCCACAGUUAUGUGUAACAUUACGCAUUUAUGAAUAACGUAAUUCCACGCACAUGGAUUUUUCUGUUUGUCUUCAGGUCUUUCACGAGCUAGCCAUCGCGUUUCAGAAAAAAAAGACAGUUCUAUUGCUGCUCCUAAUGUAGUUGUAGCCACUAGCGUUAACCCAAAAAUCGUUGGUGGUGAUUCUUCUUCUACCACUACUGAAUCGUAACAAUGGCAACCAUUAUGAGACUGUGAAAAACUGUAAAUGCGAGUUCCAUAAACCACAUCACUGAUACAAUUCUUCUGCAGCCCGGUUAUUUUUGACUGCCACCUCUUGCACCCAUUUUUACUUUGAUACACAGACUACAACAAUUUAAAGAAAAUGAUGAUCGUGAGAAUGUUCAUCUAUACGGCAUACUGAUGCUGGACCAAAAGGCCCACCCAUACUUUCGUAAGGUUGUAAGACAUCCACCUGUAUAGACCUGAAUAUGUAUUAUAGGACAACGUUCACCUUAAACAACUCAUUGUCUUUACAUUCUAUUUCUUGAGAGGUCGAAGUUGAUGAAUUUUUUCACCACCACGAUCUGAUUAGAAGUAACAUUCAGAACAGACACAUCGUCAACGACGGGUUAUUGACAUCCACAAGAGAACUUUUUUAGCACAUAAUUUAACUGAGAAUAAUCUGAAACAUUAUAUACACUAUUUCAGAUAAAAGAAGAAUAUCUAAUAAAUAAAUAAAACUAUUUAUAUAAUAAUUUAUAAUAAAGUUACCUCAAUAUAAAAUAUCAGAUUAUUUUUAUAAGAUAAUAUAAAAAUAAAUAUCAGAAGUUAUUUUCAUAAUAUAAUAGAAAAAUCAAUAUCAGAAGUUAUAUUUAUAAUAUAAUAACAUUUUAAUAAUGAGUACAUAUAUUUCUAAAAGAAGUAUUAUAUUUGUAUGGUUCUAGGAAAUGUUUUUACAAAAAAUACGAGGAACCAAUUCCUCUUUUUCAUAUUAUUUAAACAUAAUAAGUUUGAAAUACAAUAUUUAAAAUAUAAAAAAAUCAAUAAAUCCAAAAUAUAAACAGAGAUAAUAGUUUGUUAUGUUUGUGUUGAAUAUCAACUGUAAUAUAUUAAUUUAUUUUUAUUCACUAUAUAAUAAAUAUUGAAAAAUGUAAAACAACUAAACUUUUUUAGUGGUGAGAAAAACCUAUGCCCUUUUAACAAGAUCAACAAAUACAGAUGGUUAAAAUUAUUAUCAGUUGGAUAAAUUAAAUAUUAGAAUAUUAAAAUUAAUAAAAAAAAAUGUUACUUUUCUUUUAUUCACUUGUCCGUAGGUUUAUGGUUUAGGAACUUUGGUAUAGAAACUCUUGAUAUGACUUUUACUCUUUUAAGGUUGCAAAAUGAUUCAUUUGUAUCUUUUUAUCUUCGCUUAUAAAUAAUAUUGAUAACAGUCUAACAUAAAACAAACAAUCAAUUCAUUACAAACCAUUGACUCAAAAGACCAAACGCUUCUGAAUUAAAUUGUCCUUUAACCAAAAUGUUACAAGAAAUUAAGAAAAUCGAUAAUUUAAACUCACCAUCUAUAAAAAAAAUAUAGCUAUAACAUCUUAUACUUCUUAAAACUUUGAACUCAUACAAAUAACCAAAGAAUGAAUGACGAACCACUUUUAUCUUAUGAGUUCUCACACCAAACAAGAUCUUAAGGAGCAAAUCCACGGCGCACACUCAAAGUCUACAUCAACAGGCCCAACACACAAUAAUCUAUCAUUGAUUUCGAACUACCAUCUAUCACAGACCAUCAAGAUAAUUUUAAUGACUCAAAAAGUGAGGGCAUAGAAUUUAUGAUAACAUACCAUGAAAUCGAACACCAACACACUUCAAGUCUAUAUCAACAGAUCCAACACACAACAAUCUAUUAUUAAUUUCCAGCUACCACCUAUCACCGACUAUCAAGGUAAUUUUAAUGACUCCACAACUGAUGGCAUGGAAUUCAUGUUAACAUACCAUGAAAUCGAGCAACCCGACUCAACCCUGCUUAUUCAAGAAACAACCCAAUACGUGAUGAAAUUACUAACAGAUGAAGAGAAUAACGUAACUGAUGAUCUUCAAGUUACUCUUACCAUCACAGACUACAACCAAAACGCGACCGCAAGACCUGACGUCAACCUUAUCAUCACCGAUCUUGACGCAACUAAUAGGCCUCCAACUACAGAAAAAGAAAACGAUACAUGCACGGUAUAGUUCAGAAAUUACAACAAUGGAACUAUCUAUGCUCUUUUACGCCGUACUUUCUAUUUAUGUUGCAUUGAUCAAUGGCUUCGUACAAAUGUAAGAUUUCCCAUAUGUAGGGAAAGUCAUAUGUGAUUCAGCAUUAUUACAAUUUAUAUGGGGGUUUCUUAUGUUCUAAUUUUCAGUUUUAUUUACAUACUGCUUUUGAUUUUCGUUUAAAUUUUUAAACAAUAUAACAUAUAAAUAUUUUUCUUCAUUUCCUAAUAUGUUCCAUUACCAGAAUUAGUUUUUUUUUAAACCAAAAAUCAGAUAAAAACAUAUAUGAACAAAACUUCAUUACACAUGUUUAAAUUCAGAUUAGUCACUAAAAUAAAAUUCCAAAUGAUGUUUCUUCUAUAUACUAUCCACAUGGUACUUAACAGUAUAAGUAUGUUCUCUAAAUAAAACAUCAACUUUACUUUAUAUUUAAAUUCCAACUAAAUUAACUUUGUUACGACUAUCGGCUUUUUAUUAUACUUUUAUUGAAUCUAUUAGUUACAAUCACUGAUGCUAUUUCACUUUGAACUAAGUAACUUUUUAAAAAAAAGUAAUACACUAGGAUCGCUAACCAGUAUAUUUUCAUUUUCAUAUUUUUGAACAUUUUUUUUACUAAGACCAUAAAAUGAAUUGUAAAUUCAUGUAAGAAUAAAACAUACGAAUCCGGUGCGUAGCGCCGUAAUAACACUAGUAUAAUAUAUGUUCUUAAUAAGUGUGAAAAUCUUAAAACAUACAUCUUUUUAAAACAGAAGAAGUAACUAAAUAAGAAAUAAAAGUCAAUAAUAAUUUUCUCUCUUUUUAUUCUUUUGAUUUAUUUACCGUUAAUGCAGCACUCAUAUGUAAAAUAGUUUUUAAUCGAAAAAAAUUUAUAUUCAUUAAAGAAAACAAAAUCACAACUCCAAAACCGACUGCCUCUAUGACUUGUGUAGUCAACGCUUGUGAAGUCAUUGAUGACAUCUCCAACCAUGAUACUAAAUUUGGUGUUGAAAUUACACCAAAUUUGGUGUUUUGAUGUCAUACAUUUUUUUUUUCAUAUCUAACCAUAACACCAAAUAUUACACAAAAAUUAAUAUUAUAUAUUAUUUUAUGUUUUCAGCUUUAGUAAUUUUUAUAUUUUUAUUAUUUGUAACUGCUAAAUAAAAUUAUUUGACCACACUUAAAUAUGUUUGUUUAAUUAUUUUGUAAUUUUAUGUUUAUAAUAUUUAUUUACAUUUAUGUUUUUAGUUUAAAAAUAUUAUACUUUUAUGUAUUUUAUUUAUUAUAAAAUAUUGUAUAAAAAAUACAAACUAUUAAUUUUUAAAAGCACAUAAAAAUAAUAUAUUUCUUUUAAUAAAAUUCGUAUUAGUUAGUAAUACAAGUUUAACUAUAUUAUAAAAUAAAAUAAAAAUGUUAUUUUAAUGUUUGGUGAAUUUAAUAGUACUAAUUAAAAUUUCAUAUUGCUAAAAUAAAAUAUAAAAGUUCUAUGAUGUUUUAUUUUUUUACAAUAUAAAAUAAAUGUUAGGGGGUGUUAUUGGUUCAUAUAUUUUAACGGAUUUGAAAAUACAAGUCAAAUCUAGUGUUAUUGGUUAUGUGAUUUUAAAAUCUAUAUUCAAAUUCAUUGUUAUUGGUUAUAUGAUUUUAAAAUCUAUAUUCAAAUCAAUUGUUAUUGGUUUUAUGAUUUUAAAAUAGAUUUUAAAAUCAGGUGUUAUUCAAUAAUAGUAAUUUGUUUGAAGAUUUGAUUUAAAAUUAGAUUUGAAUGGAUUUAUGAAUGAUUUUAAGUUAAAAAUACAAAGGAGCAAAUAUUGAGUUGAACCUUGAUAUUUUGACAAAUCUGUAUUAUUGUACGUAGCUGCUCCUGUUUUAAAUCUUGCUUCUUAAAGCAGUUAAUCAGUGUCUAUCUUUAAUCAUUGAACUUAUGAUUAUCAGGACAUAAACGAACUGAUAUAGAGAGUUUAUUUGAACAAUGUUAGCCGCAGCCAGUUACAAAGACGUUUGUUUUCUGUGUCCAUGUAAAGCUAAUGAGAACUUAAAUGCUACAGUAUGGUCCCUUCUAUGCAUCACAUGGCUUUAACAGUUUCUUGUCUGGAACAUCCCACAUACCCAAUCUUUAUCCCUUUAGGGUUAGUCUAUUUUGUAUAUACAGAGUGGAGGUUAAUUCACUUUCAUACGAAGAUACAACUUGUAUAUAAUGAGGUAAACAGUGAUAUAAGAAGUUGUAGGCACUAUCUGGGAUAUUAACAUGUUAUCAUUAUGGUAUCUCUACUUAACUAUUUGGCUGAUUUAUGAUAAUCCAGUUAUUUUGAUUUUGAAAUCUAUAUCAUUGAUUCUGAAAUCUAAUUAUUUGACUUUAAAAUCUAUGUAUUUAUCAAAAAUUUCUAAAUCCAAGAAAGAAUCCUAAAUUCAUUAAAAUACUACAACCAAUAACCUCCACUUAAUAAUCAUUUAGUGAUUCUUACUUUAAAAAUAAAAUAAAAUAUUUUAAUUAUGUAAAAAUAAUUUAAAAUACAACAAUACAGUAUAUUUGUGUUUAGUUACAAAUAUGAACUAAUUAAUAAUAAUGAUUGAAUUGUAUUAUAAAAUGAAACAUAGUAAAAUAUGUAUAUUAAAUAUUUGGUGUGACGAAUAAAGGCGUCAAAAUGGGAUAAUCCAUGACUUUAAAGUCUUUGUGAAAGGCGUUCCUUUUUUAACUUACCAUGGUAGAAACAUUCCAACACUUUAGAAACAGAUGAAACGAAACCAUACGAAAGGGAUCAAGCACAACAACUUUGUCACCGUACUUAUCCGCAGAUGAUCUCCAUAUAUCAGGAACAGCCUUCCAUUCAUUAGAUCUCAAAUCAGUAGCAGCAUCAUCCCCUGGUAUUGAUGAGCGUUCUAAGAACGGUGAACAACGCCUUAGCUCCUUCUCCCGAAC